UACGGGAGGCAGCAGUGGGGAAUAUUGCACAAUGGGCGAAAGCCUGAUGCAGCUAUGCCGCGUGUAUGAAGAAGGCCUUAGGGUUGUAAAGUACUUUCAUCGGGGAGGAAAAACAAAACUAAUAAUUUUAUUUCUUGACGUUACCCGAAAAAGAAGCACCGGCUAACUCCGUGCCAGCAGCCGCGGUAAUACGGAGGGUGCUAGCGUUAAUCAGAAUUACUGGGCGUAAAGAGCACGUAGGUGGUUUUUUUAAAGUCAGAUGUGAAAUCCCUGGGCUUAACCUAGGAACUGCAUUUUGAAACUGAAAUACUAGAGUAUCGUAGAGGGAGGUAGAAUUCUAGGUGUAGCGGUGAAAUGCGUAGAUAUCUGGAGGAAUACCUGUGGCGAAAGCGGCCUCCUAAACGAAUACUGACACUGAGGGUGCGAAAGCGUGGGGAGCAAACAGGGAUUAGAUACC
rnacentral:rRNA from 1 species